CUAACACAUGCAAGUCGAACGGUAACAGGAAGCAGCUUGCUGCUUUGCUGACGAGUGGCGGACGGGUGAGUAAUGUCUGGGAAACUGCCUGAUGGAGGGGGAUAACUACUGGAAACGGUAGCUAAUACCGCAUAACGUCGCAAGACCAAAGAGGGGGACCUUCGGGCCUCUUGCCAUCGGAUGUGCCCAGAUGGGAUUAGCUAGUAGGUGGGGUAACGGCUCACCUAGGCGACGAUCCCUAGCUGGUCUGAGAGGAUGACCAGCCACACUGGAACUGAGACACGGUCCAGACUCCUACGGGAGGCAGCAGUGGGGAAUAUUGCACAAUGGGCGCAAGCCUGAUGCAGCCAUGCCGCGUGUAUGAAGAAGGCCUUCGGGUUGUAAAGUACUUUCAGCGGGGAGGAAGGGAGUAAAGUUAAUACCUUUGCUCAUUGACGUUACCCGCAGAAGAAGCACCGGCUAACUCCGUGCCAGCAGCCGCGGUAAUACGGAGGGUGCAAGCGUUAAUCGGAAUUACUGGGCGUAAAGCGCACGCAGGCGGUUUGUUAAGUCAGAUGUGAAAUCCCCGGGCUCAACCUGGGAACUGCAUCUGAUACUGGCAAGCUUGAGUCUCGUAGAGGGGGGUAGAAUUCCAGGUGUAGCGGUGAAAUGCGUAGAGAUCUGGAGGAAUACCGGUGGCGAAGGCGGCCCCCUGGACGAAGACUGACGCUCAGGUGCGAAAGCGUGGGGAGCAAACAGGAUUAGAUACCUGGGUAGUUCACGCCGUAAACGAUGUCGACUUGGAGGUUGUGCCCUUGAGGCGUGGCUUCCGGAGCUAACGCGUUAAGUCGACCGCCUGGGGAGUACGGCCGCAAGGUUAAAACUCAAAUGAAUUGACGGGGGCCCGCACAAGCGGUGGAGCAUGUGGUUUAAUUCGAUGCAACGCGAAGAACCUUACCUGGUCUUGACAUCCACGGAAGUUUUCAGAGAUGAGAAUGUGCCUUCGGGAACCGUGAGACAGGUGCUGCAUGGCUGUCGUCAGCUCGUGUUGUGAAAUGUUGGGUUAAGUCCCGCAACGAGCGCAACCCUUAUCCUUUGUUGCCAGCGGUCCGGCCGGGAACUCAAAGGAGACUGCCAGUGAUAAACUGGAGGAAGGUGGGGAUGACGUCAAGUCAUCAUGGCCCUUACGACCAGGGCUACACACGUGCUACAAUGGCGCAUACAAAGAGAAGCGACCUCGCGAGAGCAAGCGGACCUCAUAAAGUGCGUCGUAGUCCGGAUUGGAGUCUGCAACUCGACUCCAUGAAGUCGGAAUCGCUAGUAAUCGUGGAUCAGAAUGCCACGGUGAAUACGUUCCCGGGCCUUGUACACACCGCCCGUCACACCAUGGGAGUGGGUUGCAAAAGAAGUAGGUAGCUUAACCUUCGAGAGGGCGCUUACCACUUUGUGAUUCAUGACUGGGGU
rnacentral:rRNA from 1 species